UACGGAGGGGGCGAGCGUUAUUCGGAAUCAUUGGGCGUAAAGGGCGCGCAGGCGGCCUUGCAAGUCGUAGGUGAAAUCCCUCGGCUCAACCGAGGAAUUGCCUCCGAAACUGUAGGGCUCGAGGCCGGGAGGGGGUAGCGGAAUUCCCAGUGUAGCGGUGAAAUGCGUAGAUAUUGGGAGGAACACCAGUGGCGAAGGCGGCUACCUGGACCGGUUCUGACGCUGAGGCGCGAAAGCGUGGGGAGCAAACAGG
rnacentral:misc_RNA from 1 species